CGCGCAUAGCUAGUGGUGAGGUAACGGCUCACCAAGGCGACGAUGCGUAGCCGACCUGAGAGGGUGAUCGGCCACACUGGGACUGAGACACGGCCCAGACUCCUACGGGAGGCAGCAGUAGGGAAUCUUCCGCAAUGGACGAAAGUCUGACGGAGCAACGCCGCGUGAGUGAUGAAGGUUUUCGGAUCGUAAAGCUCUGUUGUUAGGGAAGAACAAGUGCAAGAGUAACUGCUUGCACCUUGACGGUACCUAACCAGAAAGCCACGGCUAACUACGUGCCAGCAGCCGCGGUAAUACGUAGGUGGCAAGCGUUGUCCGGAAUUAUUGGGCGUAAAGGGCUCGCAGGCGGUUUCUUAAGUCUGAUGUGAAAGCCCCCGGCUCAACCGGGGAGGGUCAUUGGAAACUGGGAAACUUGAGUGCAGAAGAGGAGAGUGGAAUUCCACGUGUAGCGGUGAAAUGCGUAGAGAUGUGGAGGAACACCAGUGGCGAAGGCGACUCUCUGGUCUGUAACUGACGCUGAGGAGCGAAAGCGUGGGGAGCGAACAGGAUUAGAUACCCUGGUAGUCCACGCCGUAAACGAUGAGUGCUAAGUGUUAGGGGGUUUCCGCCCCCUUUAGUGCUGCAGCUAACGCAUUAAGCACUCCGCCUGGGGAGUACGGUCGCAAGACUGAAACUCAAAGGAAUUGACGGGGGCCCGCACAAGCGGUGGAGCAUGUGGUUUAAUUCGAAGCAACGCGAAGAACCUUACCAGGUCUUGACAUCCUCUGACAACCCUAGAGAUAGGGCUUUCCCUUCGGGGACAGAGUGACAGGUGGUGCAUGGUUGUCGUCAGCUCGUGUCGUGAGAUGUUGGGUUAAGUCCCGCAACGAGCGCAACCCUUGAUCUUAGUUGCCAGCAUUCAGUUGGGCACUCUAAGGUGACUGCCGGUGACAAACCGGAGGAAGGUGGGGAUGACGUCAAAUCAUCAUGCCCCUUAUGACCUGGGCUACACACGUGCUACAAUGGACAGAACAAAGGGCUGCGAGACCGCAAGGUUUAGCCAAUCCCACAAAUCUGUUCUCAGUUCGGAUCGCAGUCUGCAACUCGACUGCGUGAAGCUGGAUCGCUAGUAAUCGCGGAUCAGCAUGCC
rnacentral:rRNA from 1 species